AGGAUGAACGCUGGCGGCGUGCCUAACACAUGCAAGUCGAACGUCCUGUCUCGCAAGAGGCAGGGAGUGGCGGACGGGUGAGUACCACGUGGGUCAUCUACCGUGAGGUGAGGAAUACCGGCGAGAAAUCGCCGACAAGACCGCAUAGGCUCGAUGCAAGUCGAGCAAAGCUCUUUCGAGAGAGGGAGCGCCACACGAGGAGCCUGCGCCCGAUUAGCUAGCUGGUGGAGUAACGGUUCACCAGGGCGACGAUCGGUAGCUGGUCUGAGAGGACGAUCAGCCACACUGGGAUUGAGAACGGCCCAGACUCCUACGGGGGCAGCAGUGAGGAAUUUCGUCAAUGGGGGCAACCCUGAACGAGCAACGCCGCGUGCAGGAAGAAGGUUUCGGAUCGUAAACUGCUUUUCGUCGGGGAAGAGAACGGACGGUACCCGAGGAAUCAGCCCCGGCUAACUACGCGCCAGCAGCCGCGGU
rnacentral:rRNA from 1 species